AGAACCUGUUUUAUAGCGAUAAUCCACGAUAAAUUUUACUUUAAUGUAAAAUUUAUAUACCGCCACUAUAAGAACUAAAUAUAUAGUUAUUAUUCCAAAUAAAAAAUAAAAAAGUAGGUCAAGGUGUAAUUAAUCUUAAAGAAAAAAUGGGUUACAUUAAUGAUAAAUUACAAAUUAUUUAUUAUAAUUUAUAUAAAAUAGGAUUUAUAAGUAAUAAAUAUAAUAAAAUUUAUUCAUGAAUAAAAUUAAAAAUGUGCACACAUCGCCCGUCGCUCUUA
rnacentral:rRNA from 1 species